CUCUCUCUCCUUUUUUAUCCGCUUUUUAUCAUCUCCUCUAAUCUCUUGCCUCAUCUUCUUCCCCCCCUCUGCAUGAACUCCUAGAACGAACUCCCUGAUUUUCCAUCUUCUCUUCCGAUUCUCGCUAGAUCAUGGCAUCCUCAAUCGAAGAAGGAGGUGAUAGAGAUUUAGAGAAGGGACUGAUGACUCCACCACCAAGUCAAAACCCUCUCGCCGAGCCGUCACCUUCGCCAUCUCCCUCGUCGACGGCUUCUGCUGCGGCUCCGGCGUUAGUGCUUUCCAAUUCCGGUAAGCGGAUUGAUCAGGCGGGGAAAAAGAAGUACGUAAAGCAGGUGACGGGGCGGCACAACGACACUGAGCUGCACUUGGCCGCUCAGCGUGGUGAUCUGGCUGCCACGAAGCAGAUACUCAAUGAUAUCGUUUCGCAGAUGACGGGAACUCUGAGCGGCGCGGAUCUUGACGCUGAGGUUGCGGAGGUCCGGGCUGCGGUUGUGAAUGAGGUGAAUGAGUUGGGAGAGACGGCGCUGUAUACGGCGGCCGAGAAAGGCUACCUUGAUAUUGUGAAGGAAUUGUUGAAGUAUUCGAGUCAGGAGACUGUCACGAAGAAGAAUCGAUCUUUGUUUGAUCCGUUGCAUAUAGCCGCAAGUCAAGGACACCAUGCCAUUGUCCAGGUGCUCCUAGAUCAUGACCCUGGUCUCAGUAAAACAAUUGGUCCGUCAAAUGCCACUCCUCUUAUAUCUGCAGCAACAAAAGGCCAUACGGAAGUAGUUAAUGAAUUACUUUCAAAAGAUUGUAGCUUGCUGGAGAUAUCUAGAUCCAACGGGAAAAAUGCAUUGCAUUUGGCUGCCCGACAGGGGCAUGUUGAAAUUGUAAAAGCAUUACUGAGCAAAGAUCCACAGCUGGCACGAAGGACUGACAAGAAAGGGCAGACUGCAUUGCAUAUGGCUGUAAAAGGGCAGAGCUGUGAGGUGGUGAAAUUGCUUCUCGAGGCUGAUGCUGCUAUUGUUAUGCUUCCGGAUAAAUUUGGUAACACAGCGUUACAUGUAGCUACACGGAAAAAGCGAGUAGAGAUAGUGAAUGAGUUAUUAUCCCUUCCUGACACCAAUGUUAAUGCACUGACCAGAGACCACAAAACAGCUCUUGACAUAGCUGAAGAGCUUCCCCUUUCUGAAGAAUCCUCAGUUAUAAGGGACUGCCUUUCUCGAUGUAAUGCUCUCAGAGCUAAUGAACUGAACCAACCAAGGGAUGAAUUGAGGAAAACUGUGACUCAAAUUAAGAAAGAUGUUCAUAUCCAACUCGAACAAACUAGGAAAACUAACAAAAAUGUUCAUAAUAUUUCUAAAGAGCUCAGGAAACUUCACCGAGAAGGGAUCAACAAUGCCACCAACUCAGUGACAGUGGUGGCUGUGCUAUUUGCUACAGUUGCCUUUGCAGCUAUUUUUACUGUGCCUGGUGGAGAUCACGAUAAUGGAAUGGCUGUAGUGGUCAAGACUGCAUCUUUCAAGAUUUUCUUCAUCUUCAAUGCUAUUGCCCUUUUUACGUCUUUGGCUGUUGUGGUUGUUCAAAUUACAUUGGUUAGAGGCGAGACAAAAGCAGAAAAACGAGUAGUGGAAGUAAUUAACAAGCUGAUGUGGCUGGCUUCUGUGUGCACUUCGGUGGCUUUUAUGGCCUCCUCUUAUAUAGUGGUUGGCAGGAAGCAUGAAUGGGCAGCAAUUUUGGUCACAGCUGUGGGGGGAGUAAUAAUGGGUGGGGUUCUUGGCACAAUGACUUAUUAUGUGGUGAGGUCCAAGAGGAUUCGUUCGAUGCGAAAGAAGGAGAAGCAUGCUAGGAGCGGAUCCAACUCGUGGCAUCACUCUGACUUCUCAAACUCAGAAGUCGAUCGCAUUUUCGCCCUUUGAUGUGUGCAACUUACAGUCUCUGGAAGUUUGUAGGAUCAUAAAUGGAAAAGAUGCACGCUGAACGAUUACAAAAGCAGCUUUCUAUAACUUUAUAAAAGGACCGUGUGUUGCCAUUAGGCAGCACUUGGCAUAUUUAAGGGAGGCAGGGUUAACUCUUGGUUGCUUUAGAGAGGUGGACAGAUGGGCGGGCUUCCAGUCAUCAUUGAUUCCGUGAAUAGAUAAUUGAGUAGAACAAAAUGAUACUCAUCUUUAUGCAGUUUAUACAAACGAUGUCAUCUUGUCGAAGAGAUGGAUUUCUUUUUUAUUUUUAUCUUCCAAUUUUUCACUUCAUAAUCACAGUGGAAGCUGCCAAUUGUGGAAAAUGAUUCUUUGCUUUCACUUCGUAAAAAUUUGAGAAGAUUGUCUCUC